CCAAAGGCUCUUUUAAGAGCCACCCACAACUUCAAAGGAAGAGCUG
rfam:Alligator mississippiensis ScZkoYb_172, whole genome shotgun sequence.